UUCCAAAGUGUUGAGUUCAGUCCGGGGCAGCUUCCCUGUUCUGUUAAUUAAACUUUGGGACAUUAAAACACAGGCUGGGGUGUGUGUGGAUGGAGACUGUUACUCUAUUCGUUUACUCCCUAGCCUCCAGAU
ensembl:snoRNA